rnacentral:rRNA from 1 species
AUACGGAGGAUGCGAGCGUUAUCCGGAUUUAUUGGGUUUAAAGGGUGCGUAGGCUGUGCGUUAAGUCAGGGGUGAAAUGCCGUCGCUCAACGACGGAGCUGCCCUUGAUACUGGCGUGCUGGAGUACGGAUGCCGUUGGAGGAAUGUGUGGUGUAGCGGUGAAAUGCUUAGAUAUCACUCAGAACACCGAUUGCGAAGGCAUCUGACGAAUCCGUCACUGACGCUGAGGCACGAAAGCGUGGGGAUAGAACAGGAUUAGAUACCCUGGUAUUCCACGCCGUAAACGAUGAUGACUAACCGUCGGCGAUAGACAGCCGGUGGCCAAGCGAAAGCGAUAAGUCAUCCACCUGGGGAGUACGUCGGCAACGAUGAAACUCAAAUGAAUUGACGGGG